CGUAGGGCGCAAGCGUUAUCCGGAAUUAUUGGGCGUAAAGAGCUUGUAGGCGGUUCGUCGCGUCUGGUGUGAAAGCCCAUCGCUUAACGGUGGGUUUGCGCCGGGUACGGGCGGGCUAGAGUGCAGUAGGGGAGACUGGAAUUCCCGGUGUAACGGUGGAAUGUGUAGAUAUCGGGAAGAACACCAAUGGCGAAGGCAGGUCUCUGGGCUGUUACUGACGCUGAGAAGCGAAAGCGUGGGGAGCGAACAGGAUU
rnacentral:rRNA from 1 species